ACGCACCCACCCAACCUUGGGUGCCCCAAAAAGGAUGUAGGAGGCACGCCCCAUCUCCGGCAGACCGGAGUCUAUUCCUGGUGGAUUAGGAUCGGCUCAUCUCCCCGCCCAAGAAACACUCAAGGCCGAUCUCAGACCGUCGCCCAGAUGAAAAGCGGUCAAAGCGGCAACAACCGAAGGGAAAUUUUUAGACGCUUAAUACUACAAGUGUCAGGCAAAAACCGCCGCACGGCACUAAAUUGGAGGCGUUUGUCAACCGGGUCGCCUAAUCCUGAGGAGCUCCAAGGGAAAAGAAGGGACGUGCUGAAAAUGUAGUUGGACGCGCGGCCAGGGUCCGGAAUUAAGCCUCUAAUUUUAGAUUAGAUUUCACAGUGAGUAAUUGACAAUCUGGACUAGGUGAUAUUACAAAAACAAUGACUAAAGCUUAUUUAUUGCAGAGUUCCUCUUCGGAUGUGGCUGAAACUGCAGCCAGAAUGGAAAAAUCGCUAGCGGCGAAAACCAGCGCGAGUCCGCACGGAGCCAAUUGGUACGGAGGAUAGCGCAGCGUCCGCGUAAGAGGGGCCGGAGGCAGUGCGUCGGUGGACUUGGAGAUGACCACGUGGCCAGCGCGGGCAUUCG